ensembl:misc_RNA Metazoa_SRP Metazoan signal recognition particle RNA
GCCAGGUGUGGUGGCUCACCCCUGUAAUCCCAGCACUUUGGGAGGCUGAGACAGGUGGGUCAUCUGAGGUCAGGAGUUCUGGACCAGCCUGGCCAACAUGGUGAAACCCCGUCUCUA